rnacentral:misc_RNA from 1 species
GUAGGUGAACCUGCGGAGGGAUCAUUACUGAGUGAGGGCGCAAGCCCGACCUCCAACCCUUUGUCAUCCGACUCUGUUGCCUCGGGGGCGACCCGGCCUUCGGGCGUUGGGGCCCCCGGCGGACAAUCAACCCUGCAUCUUUGCGUCCGAGUAAACAUUUGAAUCAAUCAAAACUUUUAACAACGGAUCUCUUGGUUCUGGCAUCGAUGAAGAACGCAGCAUCUGACUGACUCGGGCAUAAGUCAUCUCG